CGCAGUUUUGCACCAUUGAGCCAUUUCAACCAGAAUUAAAUUUUGCUUAUUUACAAAAAAAAUCCUACGGAACGAAACAAGGUAAAUCUCUACCUUUCGUUGAUAGCAUUUUAUAAGGACCAAGCGGAUACGAAAUCAAGAAUUUGUACAACGAUUACCAAGCUACCAAGCAUGUACGGCCAUCUUGGAGAAGGAAUCAGCUCGAGCUGUCAGGCGAUCACCGAUAUCCGAUACUGCAGGUUAGCGGACACGGAUGUUUAUCCAACGGCUUUCCGCCAGUAGGCAUACUAAUCAAUGUGAAAAGAUUGGUCGAGAUUCCUGGUUAUAAAUACGGAGGCGUUUAAAGGCAUAGUGGGCGCAGGUGGCUAAAGGUCAAGAAUCGGAUUCGGGAUUAGCUAGGCGGUAAACCAACAAAAAUCUCAGUCUUGUCCUAAAAGACGCUAAAAACGCCCGCAAAAACUUCAACUACGCGAGUGUCGUACUACCUCACUGUAGGUAGAUACGGGCCUCGUGGUUUUUUCGCGUACCUGCCUAUUGGGAACCCCAGGCUAACGGAAGUGGUCAGCCUGUUUGUUAAGCUCGUGAACAGCAAGAGGAAUACUGAAUAUGGACGUACAAUGUUUUGAGCGGCUUACGACAAUCAACGGGACGGAGGUUCCCGGCAAAACAAUAUUUUUUGACAUCUAAGAAGCAAUUUAAGCGACUGACAUACUCCGCAGACAGCAGUUCGUUCGAGAUCUAAAUUCAGAGCCGAACAGGAGCACAUCGGAUAUUUCGAUUGCUGACAAAACCCAGAUGCAGCCAAGCAAAAAGUAAUACGCUGUAGCUAAAGUCACAUGAGCCGAGGAUACUCGGGUGGUCGUCAUUGUACAAAUGGGAAACUGGACAUUGGUUGUACGCACAAUCAUAGAUGACGCGUUGAACUAAAGAACAACCCCCGCUGAUGACUGUUACUCUCAAGAAAGAUCAGGCACCAGAACUACAGGGGUAAAUAGCUGUGAAACCUUCGCUCGAGCCAACAGGUGAAGGACCAAUAACUAACUCUACGACAAGCAAGCAACAAUUAACACAUUCAAAAAAAUUAAGGAUCGGAAAGUUAAGCAGACGCUGAAGGCCGUUAAGGAGAGGCCGAUAGAAAUUAGUCAAAGAAAGAUUCUUGUAUACGAGCUAGAGGUUAUCAAAUACGCCUAUGCUUGUUCCUAUGAACAUGGCGCUAAACUGUAUAUGGAUGUCGACUGUACCUCGUUGUCUAAAUGCUAGUGAGAGACAUCUUCUUACGUUACAGCGUGCUUCAUUCAACCGUAUGUACAUACACACUUGAUAUUUAAU